ACCCCCGUUCCAUCAUAAUUGAACUCUCUGGUCAUGACCUUCUUUUCCUUCAUGCUGGAUUCAAACUGGAAUCAAAGUCUGACAAUAUAAGACUUGUUCUUUGGUAAGUCAUGCUACUCCAGUACAGCAGGUGGCAGUGUAGCUAGUGGGUCACUGUGAGGCGAAACGUUUAAAAAUGAGUAUAAUAAUUUAUUUUCAUGACAAGCAAUGCAAUAAUUACUCCCCCCCCACCACCACAGCGCCAUCUUCUGGACCUGGUGGGUCACUGUCCCACUUUACCCAGCUGUGAUCAGAUUGUUCAGGCAGAAUGUUUAAAGAUGAGUCUUCUGUAUAUAACUUUAUCGCACAUUCGUAGGCCACAUGCAAUUGUUUCUUCCUUUGAACUUAUGUUCGUGCUGCUUUUGUUUUGUUGUUUUUUUUUUGUUUUUGUUUUUUUACUCUAACCCGACUAAUUUAUAUGAUUUCUAACCACUGCAGCUGCAUCUGCUGGACCGGGUGGCUCACUGCCCCACUUGACCCCAGUUCAAUAGGAAUGUUAGCAACUUGAAUGAUGACUUUGGUGCAAGCUGUAUGGAAAUUUUGGACUGCAAUCCAAUCAUCAUUGACGCUUGUCAUUGGAUUUAGUCUUUCAAGUGAAAGGACGGGAUGAAAUCCAUGAGCUUUAGCGUACCUUCUUGAUUAGUAGCUCCCCCAUGGGGACUCCAAUUGCCCCCAAAUACUUGUGGCAGUGACACUCAUGGACCGGCCAGUAUGCCUUGUAUACUGUGACAGCAGGAAUGCGAAUAACGCCGGAGUCUUUUUGUCUUGUCUAACACCCAUCCGUCAUCUCCAACGCGUUUGCUGUAAAUCGCCCCAGAUGACACAAAAUUCUUCAGGCUGCUUGAUGGAUACCGAGGCAAGACGCAGGACGAGGAUGAGAGAGGAGCGGUCGCCCUACAAAGCAACCUGGGGCGGACACCACGGGGUGUCAGGGUAC